GCUCACCGGCGUCGUGGCUGAGGACAGCUCCCAGCCAGGGUGGCCUCGCAGCACUUCUCUUUGUCCGCUGGCUGCGUCCAGAACCGGCCCAGGUGGGAAAGUGGAUCCUGGAUAAAAGUCCUGCCCAAGACAAGACUCCAGGCUGAAGACUCCAAUUAUCUAUAAAUCACUUGUGUUUCCUGCAGAGAAAGAGAAAAAGGAGGGAAGAGCGAGACAGAAAAACAGAGACAGAGGAUAUGCCAAGUGAAAUAUUCGAUACCUGUCCUAAACCAAAUUUCUCUCAAAAGCAACCAGGAGUUACCUGAUACCUCAAAACCAAGCUUAGAAGAAAUAUGUUGCCGUUGUUUUUGGCUUAAUAUUGAAAUAAAAUAACUUUCUUUUACUUGU